rnacentral:rRNA from 1 species
UAGGGAAUCUUCGGCAAUGGGGGGAACCCUUACCGAGCAACGCCGCGUGAGUGAAGAAGGUUUUCGGAUCGUAAAGCUCUGUUGUUAAGGAAGAACGAGUGUGAGAAUGGAAAGUUCAUGCUGUGACGGUACUUAACCAGAAAGGGACGGCUAACUACGUGCCAGCAGCCGCGGUAAUACGUAGGUCCCGAGCGUUGUCCGGAUUUAUUGGGCGUAAAGCGAGCGCAGGCGGUUAGAAAAGUCUGAAGUGAAAGGCAGUGGCUCAACCAUUGUAGGCUUUGGAAACUGUUUAACUUGAGUGCAGAAGGGGAGAGUGGAAUUCCAUGUGUAGCGGUGAAAUGCGUAGAUAUAUGGAGGAACACCGGUGGCGAAAGCGGCUCUCUGGUCUGUAACUGACGCUGAGGCUCGAAAGCGUGGGGAGCGAACAGG